CCUACGGGAGGCUGCAGUGAGGAAUAUUGGUCAAUGGGCGCGAGCCUGAACCAGCCAAGUCGCGUGAGGGAAGACGGUCCUAUGGAUUGUAAACCUCUUUUGUCGGGGAGCAAAAGACGCCACGCGUGGCGUUCCGAGAGUACCCGAAGAAAAAGCAUCGGCUAAGUCCGUGCCAGCAGCCGCGGGAAUACGGAGGAUGCGAGCGUUAUCCGGAGUUAGUGGGUUUAAAGGGUGCUCAGGCGGAAGAUCAAGGCAGCGGUAAAAUUGAGAGGCUCAACCUCUUCGAGCCGUUGAAACUGGUUUUCUUGAGUGAGCGAGAAGUAUGCGGAAUGCGUGGUGUAGCGGUGAAAUGCAUAGAUAUCACGCAGAACUCCGAUUGCGAAGGCAGCAUACCGGCGCUCAACUGACGCUCAUGCACGAAAGUGUGGGUAUCGAACAGGAUUAGAUACCCCAGUAGUC
rnacentral:rRNA from 1 species